UUCAUUAGGUAAUUCAUAAGGGCAGAUCUCUUGCAUAGUGUGGAAGCCUGGGAUCUUUCACUCUUCUACCUGGAAAUGGGUGAAAUCAUUUCCUCUCUGCACUUGCAAACUUGAUCCCAGGCACAUUCUUUGACAUGAGAUCUUGCUCAGUAAUGGAAAAUGCCUGCGGAAGACUGCUGGAUGAAAGAGACUUUGCCUAGCAAUGAAAUUCACUGCCCAAGUCACCUGUUUACAAGAUGUUUUGUAAGCCAAGGGGCAGAGAGAUUGAAAAUUGUCAUACAAGGAGCAGAGUCCCAGAAGGAGGCUCUUCUAAUAGUCUGUUGGAGAGG